CCUACGGGAGGCUGCAGUGAGGAAUAUUGGUCAAUGGGCGCGAGCCUGAACCAGCCAAGUAGCGUGAAGGAUGACUGUCCUACGGGUUGUAAACUUCUUUUAUAAAGGAAUAAAGUGAGGCACGCGUGCCUUUUUGUCUGUACCUUAUGAAUAAGGAUCGGCUAACUCCGUGCCAGCAGCCGCGGUAAUACGGAGGAUCCGAGCGUUAUCCGGAUUUAUUGGGUUUAAAGGGGGCGUAGAUGGGUUGUUAAGUCAGUUGUGAAAGUUUGCGGCUCAACCGUAAGAUUGCAAUUGAUACUGGCAGCCUUGAGUACAAUUGAGGUAGGCGGAAUUCGUGGUGUAGCGGUGAAAUGCUUAGAUAUCACGCAGAACUCCGAUUGCGAAGGCAGCAUACCGGCGCCCGACUGACGCUGAGGCACGAAAGCGUGGGUAUCGAACAGGAUUAGAUACCCCAGUAGUC
rnacentral:rRNA from 1 species